UCUGAUAUGGUGUAGUGGCUAACAUUAUCGCCUCUCAAUUUUGUGUACGCGAUAGCCCGGGGUUCAAUUCCCCGUAUCCGAA
rnacentral:tRNA from 1 species